rnacentral:rRNA from 1 species
UACGGAGGAUGCAAGCGUUAUCCGGAAUGAUUGGGCGUAAAGCGUCCGCAGGUGGCGAUUCAAGUCUGCGGUCAAAGACUGGGGCUUAACCCUGGAAAGGCCGUGGAAACUGAAAAGCUAGAGUGCAGUAGGGGUAGAGGGAAUUCCCGGUGUAGCGGUGAAAUGCGUAGAGCUCGGGAAGAACAUCGGUGGCGAAAGCGCUCUGCUGGACUGCAACUGACACUCAGGGACGAAAGCUAGGGGAGCGAAUGGG